rnacentral:rRNA from 1 species
UACGGAGGUGGCAAGCGUUGCUCGGAAUCACUGGGCGUAAAGGGCGCGUAGGCGGGGAGGUAAGUCGGGUGUGAAAUCCCUCGGCCCAACCGAGGAACUGCGCCCGAGACUGCUUCUCUUGAGUCCCGGAGAGGAAGGUGGAAUUCCCGGUGUAGCGGUGAAAUGUGUAGAGAUCCGGAAGAACACCGGUGGCGAAGGCGGCCUGCUGGGCAGUUGCUGACGCUGAGGCGCGACAGCGUGGGGAGCAAACAGG